GACAGAGGAGCCAAGCGUUGUCCGGAUUGACUGGGCGUAAAGCGCACGCAGGCGGUCGCGCGCGUGGGGUGUGAAAUCUGGCCGCUUAACGGCCAGGCGCCAUCCCAUACGGCGCGACUGGAGUGAUGCAGAGGUCGAUGGAAUUGCCGGUGUAGUGGUGAAAUGCGUAGAGAUCGGCAGGAACACCCAGGGGGAAACCAGUCGACUGGGCAGCACCUGACGCUGAGGUGCGAGAGCGUGGGGGAGCGAACCGG
rnacentral:rRNA from 1 species